UACGAAGGGGGCUAGCGUUGUUCGGAAUUACUGGGCGUAAAGCGCACGUAGGCGGAUUGUUAAGUCAGAGGUGAAAUCCCGAGGCUCAACCUCGGAACUGCCUUCAAUACUGGCAAUCUUGAGUCCGGGAGAGGUGAGUGGAACUCCGAGUGUAGAGGUGAAAUUCGUAGAUAUUCGGAAGAACACCAGUGGCGAAGGCGGCUCACUGGCCCGGUACUGACGCUGAGAUGCGAAAGCGUGGGGAGCAAACAGG
rnacentral:rRNA from 1 species